rnacentral:rRNA from 1 species
CGCUAUCACUCCUACGGGGAGGCAGCAGUAGGGAAUCGUUACCACAAUGGGCGCAAGCCUGAUGGAGCAACACCGCGUGAGUGAAGAAGGGUUUCGGACUCGUAAAGCUCUGUUGUUAAAGAAGAACACGUAUGAGAGUAACUGUUCAUACGUUGACGGUUAUUUAACCAGAAAGUCACGGCUAACUACGUGCCAGCAGCCGCGGUAAUACGUAGGUGGCAAGCGUUAUCCGGAUUUAUUGGGCGUAAAGAGAGUGCAGGCGGUUUUCUAAGUCUGAUGUGAAAGCCUUCGGCUUAACCGGAGAAGUGCAUCGGAAACUGGAUAACUUGAGUGCAGAAGAGGGUAGUGGAACUCCAUGUGUAGCGGUGGAAUGCGUAGAUAUAUGGAAGAACACCAGUGGCGAAGGCGGCUACCUCGGUCUGCAACUGACGCUGAGACUCGAAAGCAUGGGUAGCGAACAGGAUUAGAUACCCUGGUAG